rnacentral:rRNA from 1 species
GCAAGCGAACGCCCUCUUCGGAGGGAGUGGCAGACGGGUGAGUAACACGUGGGAANCNACCUGUCUCUGCGGAACAACACAUAGAAAUGUGUGCUAAUACCGCAUACGCCCUUCGGGGGAAAGAUUUAUCGGAGAUAGAUGAGCCCGCGCUUGAUUAGCUAGUUGGUGAGGUAAUGGCUCACCAAGGCGACGAUCAAUAGCUGGUCUGAGAGGAUGAUCAGCCGCACUGGGACUGAGACACGGCCAAGACUCCUACGGGAGGCAGCAGUGGGGAAUAUUGGACAAUGGGCGCAAGCCUGAUCCAGCCAUGCCGCGUGAGUGAUGAAGGCCCUAGGGUUGUAAAGCUCUUUCAACGGUGAAGAUAAUGACGGUAACCGUAGAAGAAGCCCCGGCUAACUUCGUGCCAGCAGCCGCGGUAAUACGAAGGGGGCUAGCGUUGUUCGGAAUAACUGGGCGUAAAGCGCACGUAGGCGGAUUGGAAAGUUAGAGGUGAAAUCCCAGGGCUCAACCCUGGAACUGCCUUUAAAACUAUCAGUCUAGAGGUCGAGAGAGGUGAGUGGAAUUCCGAGUGUAGAGGUGAAAUUCGUAGAUAUUCGGAGGAACACCAGUGGCGAAGGCGGCUCACUGGCUCGAUACUGACGCUGAGGUGCGAAAGUGUGGGGAGCAAACAGGAUUAGAUACCCUGGUAGUCCACACCGUAAACGAUGGAAGCUAGCUGUCAGAAUGUAUACAUUUUGGUGGCGCAGCUAACGCAUUAAGCUUCCCGCCUGGGGAGUACGGUCGCAAGAUUAAA